ensembl:lincRNA
GUCCUUUUACUUAACCCAAAUCUUCCCUCUAACAGUUCUCUUAGACUCCUUAUCAGUCCAUUGACCCAUGUUCUGAACCCCUAGGUAGCAUCUGACAUCAUCCCUAAUAUUUGCUGUUUUGAUCUGUGAGAAGGCAGCUGCAGAAGAAGCGUCAAAUAUGGAGGAUAAAGGCUAUUUAAGGCCAGCGAGGUAGAACUGGAAACCUCCAUUGUCCACUGUGACUCUAGCAUACUGUGGCAUCUUGUGCUAUCAUGAUUUUCUUCACAUGGUCUUAGGCUCUGCACUUCACUCUGCUCUGGUAAUGACCCAGAUGUAUUCAGGGAUUUCGACUAUUAGAAGUAGCCAUCAAAUCAGGAUGGACACAUUCUUUAUUCACCUUUUUCUUCAUUUAGCAAACAUUGAGGGCCUCCUUCAAGGUAGCUUUCAGUUCCAGGCAAAACCAUCCAGCACUCAGGAGGCCUUCUCGAGUGAACACUGCAGAACAGAGGAAGAGUUUCUGGAUCAAGUGAAUAGGAAGCUGGCUGAGACUAGCCCGGAGAAGGGCCUAUUCACCAGGAAGCCCUGCCACUGUGAGGAAAUCCUGAAAUUCGUGCUCUCACCCCUCGCCCAGCACUGCUUGGUCAUUGGAAAAACCACCUGUGCAUUUUAUUACCUGCUGGAGGCUGCUGCCGCCUCCUUGGACUUGUCAGAUAAUUACAUGGCCUUCUUUUAUUUGAGGACGGCAAGCAGUCUUCUGGGCCAACCCUCGGCAUUCUCAUUCUUGAGAAAACACAAGGUGAAGAUCUGUCAGUUUGAGGAGGCCACUUUCUGCUGUCUUUGGUCAGAGGUCUGUUUCAACAUGGGACAGAUCACCUUAGCCAAAAAAUUGGCUAGGCAAGCCCUUCAACUGCUGAAAAGGAAUUUCCCUUGGACCUGGUUUGGUAUCCUUUUCCAAACAUUCCUGGAAAAGUAUUGGCAUUCCCGUUUCCUGAGCCAACCUCCAAACAACCCUAGUGAGAAGUGAGAAGCCUGGACUAAGUUGUCCUGGUUCCCUUUAGGGCCACAGAAAACUGUAGCUAAAGUAGGAUCCAUGCUGGAGUUUUCCCCCUGUUGACUUAAGACUACUUUUUUUCUUACUAUCUGGUAACCGCCAAGCAUUUAACAGACAAACAUACAACAGACAGCAUAUCAGCAUAUACAUAUAUGCAUGUAACAGAUAAGUGCGUAAUGGACAGGUCUAGGUUUUCCACCUUACUCCCCAGCCAAUUAAAUGUAGCAAAUAGGAAUUCAAAGAAUGAAUCUUUUUUUUUAAAAAAAAUCUCUCUCUGAACUUUUCCUGAUUAAGAGGAGUAAAUUAAAAUGUUAUAUGGAGUUAGGUGCAGUGGAAUUCCAGGAACAUUUCUUGAGUUUGAAAGUCUAUGGAUGGCCCCACAAUGAGUAGACUUGGAUCUUUUGUGGGGAGAGAAAGUUGGGCAUUGGUGAGGAGCAAGGGUGUGCUAACCACCCGUGCUUCACAACAGUAAGAAGAACCUGGCAGUCCUGCAGCAGCGGGUGCAUUGCUUCUCCCUACUCUGGC